UAGGACAUUUGUAUCAAGAGAAGUCAAUGCCUGGCUUCAAAGCUUCAAAGGAUAGGCUGACUCUCUUAUUAGGGGCUAAGUCAGUUGGUGACUUUGAGUUGAAGCCAAUGCUUAUUUACCAUUCUGAAAACCCUAGAGUCCUUAAGAA